ACAGCCUCCGGAGGUCUUGACGACAUGUGCCCAAGGUGGUCGGGACACAGCUUGGUUUUAUACAUUUUAGGGAGACAGGAGACAUCAAUAUGUGUAAGACGAAUGUUGGUUCCAUCGGGAAAGGCGGGACAAGUUGAAGCAGGGAGGGGAUUUCCAGGUCACAGGUAGGUGAGAGACAAACUGUUGUAUUCUUUUGGGUUUCUGAAUAGCCUCUCCAAAGGAGGCCAUCAGAUAUGCACUUAUCUCAGUGAGCAGAGGGGUGACUUUGACUAGAAGGGGAGGGGAGGCAGGUUUGCCCUAAGCAGUUCCCAGCUUUUUUCCCUUUAGUUUAGUGAUUUUUGGGCCCUCAGAUUCAUUUUCCUUUCACAGGCUAAACAGCUUUAGGAACUGAAAGGUUCAUGAAGCUGUAAGGAAGAGUCGAGUUGCUCCAGGUGAGCCUGGGCCACAACAGCAUGCAGGACCUGGGCGCCCAUGAGGGGCUCCUGGGAGGGUUCGGGAAAGGGAGCUGUGAACCCUGACUAUCUGAGAUGGUUUCAGGUGAUUCAGAAAGUUCAUUUUGCCGAGGUUGAGGACGUGCACCCGUGACAGCCUCAGGAGAUCCUGACGACAAGUGCCCGAGGUGGUCGGGGCACAGCUCGGUUUUAGGGAGACAUGAGACGUCAGUCAAUACAUGUCGGAAGUACCUUGCUUCCAUCCAGAAAGGUGGGGACAACUGGAAGCAGGGAGGGGGCUUCCAAGGUCACAGGUAGGUGAGAGACAAACGUUGCGUUGUUUUGAGUUUCUGGUUAGCCUCUCCAAAGGAGGCGAUCGGAUGUGCACCUAUCUUAGUGAGGAGAUAGGUGAUUUGGAAUAGAAUGGGAGGCAGGUUUGCCCUGAGCCGUUCCCAGCUUGACUUUUCCCUUUAGCUUAGUCAUCUUGGGGCCCCUAGAUGUUCUUUUCACAGAGCCUAUGACUAGAUUUGCAUUUUUCGAUCCUGCGAGGAGGCUGCUGCACACAUGCAGAAGUCACGCUGGCGGCCUGGACUCCGAAGGGAGAGAAGUGGAUUUGAGAGACAUUUAGGAGCUCCCUUCAGCCCUGAUCAGCCUGAUGCAGGCGCUGGGCCCUGGUUCUGGAGGUGAGAAUACACCUUGGGCCUCCACUGCAUGGCUGCCCUGUGAGCAUUCGGGUGCUUAUUUGGGGACUGAUACGGAGUCCUGUGCCAGAUGCAGUGGUGCACACCUGGGAACCAAGGGUCUCUGCUUCUACUGGAGAAUCUGGACAGAUGUAAAAGGUGCAAGCGGAGCCGUGCAGUCCUGACUUCUGAGUGGAGCUAGAGGAGAAUUAUGUUAACGUGUUUGCAGUCCUUGCUCAAUUUUUAAAUAUAAAUAUACUUAAGCACCGCUUUUUAUGAGAAUAAAAUAGUUUAACAAUGUUUA